GAGGUUAUGGCUCAGCGGUAGAGCACUCGCCUCGCACGUGCAAAGUCCUGAACUCGAUCCUCAGUACCACA
rnacentral:tRNA from 1 species